UUAAUAGAAUUCUUUAAAAGAAAAAGAAAAGGUGAAGGAAUUUGAGCAGAAAUAGCAAAAAUCAAGGACCAAACGGAAGAGAUUUGCAAAGACGGGAUCAAAGCGAUGAGUGAUGAAGAGUUUAAGCAAGAAUCAAAGCUCCAACCACAACCCUCUGGCAGUGAGCAAGAAAGAGGGUGGUGGCCAUGAGCUCUGGAGACAGGACAGCAGGGUGAGGUAGUGCCGAAGGAGAUGCGACACAGAGCAUUUGUGUAGAGCUCCUUGAGGAGAAAGGAAGGAAAAAACAAAACAACACAAGAAUGUUCCUGUCAGAUUCUGAAGAAUGGGGAAGUGAAGAAGCAAAAGAAAUCAUGUGCAAGCUGACCACAGUCAGGUCUUCUGAAGAUAACACUACAUUUGCAGUAAUAGAAGAAAUGCUCCAGUAAUGCAAACAAGGAAAAAUAUCCCAGAGGCGAAGGCAUGAAUUAACAAAAUAAAAUGAAAACCAUCACAGUGCAAGUUGAAAGAAAUUCCAGUUGUCCUGAAGAUGUGGUUAUUGAAAAUGGACCAACAAAGAUCCUCAGUGCAUGCUCUGAAGAGAAGCUAAAAAAAUAAAGUCAUGAAAACAAAAUAAUAAAAGCAAUAAUAAUAAAAAU